rnacentral:tRNA from 1 species
ACUAAUUUGGCAGAUAAAGUGCUUUAAAUUUAGAAUUUAAUAAUGUAAGGUUUACAGUUAGUA